rnacentral:rRNA from 1 species
UACGAAGGGGGCUAGCGUUGUUCGGAAUCACUGGGCGUAAAGGGCGCGUAGGCGGCCGAUCAAGUCGGGGGUGAAAGCCUGUGGCUCAACCACAGAAUUGCCUUCGAUACUGGUUGGCUUGAGACCGGAAGAGGUAAGUGGAACUGCGAGUGUAGAGGUGAAAUUCGUAGAUAUUCGCAAGAACACCAGUGGCGAAGGCGGCCCACUGGAUCGGUACUGACGCUGAGGUGCGAAAGCGUGGGGAGCAAACAGG